CAGCCUGAAAUGAUGGUUCUUUAAAUUUCAUGUCUCUUUGACAUUUUUCUCUGGAGAUAGUUUUUGCCUUAUUAAUCUGAUCAGGCUG
ensembl:snoRNA SNORD111 small nucleolar RNA, C/D box 111